rnacentral:lncRNA from 1 species
UAGUGAAGUCUAGUUGCUUUGGGGAAUAUUUUAUAUGUAUAUGAGAGGAAAACAAUCUUCCAGUUGUGCCAUAAAGCCUAUUAUUCAUAUAAUCAUGGGAAUUGUCCUUCUUUUCUCCACCAGACAUUUGUUAAAGGCCUUCUACACCCCAAUUACUGUGUUGAGCCUUCCUGUAAGAUGAAGAUGAGCAUCCUUAGUGAUGAGCCUGAAGGGACUUCUAAGGAAGAGGCCAAAAGGAACCUGCCAAUGGCAGAUGAUAUCCCAGGAGCAGAUAAGGAUGCAGUCAGUGACUGCUGCGAGCUUGCCAGAAGGAGUGCUGAUUACCUGCUCACCAGGGAUGUAAUGUGCAUCAGCAUCUACCACUCAAUAUACAUUGCUGGGGAAGCCUGA